CCCGCCGUAGCUCAGCGGCAGAGCGCCCGGCUGUAGACCGGGCGGUCCGGGGUUCGAAUCCCCGCGGCGGGACCA
rnacentral:tRNA from 3 species